rnacentral:rRNA from 1 species
AGAGUUUGAUCAUGGCUCAGGACGAACGCUGGCGGCGUGCCUAACACAUGCAAGUCGAACGGCUUAUCGAGGUUCGAAGCUCGAGGCGCGAAGUACGAUUAAGUAUGAAUUUGUGGUCUAUAAAGUCUYGCAAAGAAAUACUUAAUUCGUSCAUCGAACUUCUAGCUUCGAACUUCGCGGSCAGUGGCGGACGGGUGAGUAACGCGUGGGUAACCUACCCAUAAACCCGGGACAACCCUUGGAAACGAGGGCUAAUACCGGAUAAUCUUAAGACAUGGCAYCAAGCUUUAAGAAAAGGUGGCCUCUGAAGAUGCUACCGAUUAUGGAUGGACCCGCGUCUGAUUAGCUAGUUGGUGGGGUAAAGGCCUACCAAGGCGACGAUCAGUAGCCGGCCUGAGAGGGUGAACGGCCACACUGGGACUGAGACACGGCCCAGACUCCUACGGGAGGCAGCAGUGGGGAAUCUUCCSCAAUGGACGAAAGUCUGACGGAGCAACGCCGCGUGUAUGAUGAAGGUCUUCGGAUUGUAAAGUACUGUCUUUGG